AGAUGUACUUUUUUCCAAAGUAAGAGAAGAACAGGGAGGAAGAAAAGUCAAGGGACAGAAAGCGUGGAGGUUCAGGUUUCUGACUGUGUGAGUGAGAGCUGAGGCGUUCAGCAGAAAUUACAGAGGGUAGGGUGGUAAAUGUUAGCAGUGGGAGCAGUGGAAUUACAGAUACUGCAUAAUUGACUGCACGGCAUUAGCCAGGCACCACGUGGUAUAGGAACACAUACUCUGACGAAAAAGCACCAAGGCUCUGGUGAAAUUCACUGUGGGAGGAGAGGUCACAUAAAGAUCGUUCUCAUCACUGCUGAGGUAUGGGCACUACUGUAGUGAAAGGACUAUUUCAACAAAAUCAAGCAUGGAGGUGAGGAGUAAAAAAAGGGGCAGAGUAUAGCCCAGCAAGCAAGUCCUGAUAUUGCUGACAGAAUAGCACCAUAGAAUCAUAGGAUAUCCUGAGCUGGAAGGGACACACAAGGAUCAUCAA